UACGAAGGGGGCUAGCGUUGUUCGGAAUUACUGGGCGUAAAGCGCGCGUAGGCGGAUUGAUCAGUUAGGGGUGAAAUCCCAAGGCUCAACCUUGGAACUGCCUCUAAUACUGUCAAUCUAGAGUUCUAGAGAGGUGAGUGGAAUUCCGAGUGUAGAGGUGAAAUUCGUAGAUAUUCGGAGGAACACCAGUGGCGAAGGCGGCUCACUGGCUAGAUACUGACGCUGAGGUGCGAAAGUGUGGGGAGCAAACAGG
rnacentral:rRNA from 1 species